rnacentral:rRNA from 1 species
CACGGGGGGAGCAAGCGUUGUUCGGAAUCACUGGGCGUAAAGGGCGUCUAGGCGGUCAGAUAAGUGGGAUGUGAAAUGCCCCGGCUCACCCGGGGACCGGCAUCCCAAACUGUCUGGCUUGAGUAUGGGAGAGGAUGUGGGAAUUCCUGGUGUAGCGGUGAAAUGCGUAGAUAUCAGGAGGAACACCGGUGGCGAAGGCGCACAUCUGGCCCAAUACUGACGCUGAAGCGCGAAAGCUAGGGGAGCAAACGGG